GUUCCCAGAUUGCAGUUGGCCUCUGAAGUGGGGGCAAUCCUGUGAGACUGAGCCCUUAACCUAUAGGAUGUGACUCUAACUCUAGGUAGAUAUUACCAGAACUGAAUUGAAUUAUAGGCCUGGAACUUUCGAGCUCACCCCACCAUCCUUUUGAAAGAGGAGAGAAGCUGGAGAUUGAGUUAAUGCUCGGUCAUGCCUUCUUGAAAAAGCCUCCAUAAAAAUCCCUAAACAAUGAAUUGGGAGACCUAUGGACUGCUGAACACAUGGAGAAGCUGAGAGGGGUAGCAUCUCCUGGCGAAGUAUGAAAGUUCCAGUCUUCAAAUCAUGGCUUAGUCUUUCUGGUUACCAGCCUCCAUUCAGAUGCCCACCAAAAGUUGCCUCAUUAGAACAAGAGGCACUCCUAUCAUCCAGGAAAUUUCAAGGGAUUGGAAGCUCUGUGCCACCAGAGACACCCAGUUGAUGUUUGCUGGAGAAUUAGUAUGUGGGGAAAAAUAAAUCCUACCCAUCUGGUGUCAGAAGUGAGGAACUGAGAAUGAGUGAGGUCAGCAACAGGGAAGUUGGAGAGAUUCAAACUAUGAUUGCAAUUCGACAAGGGAGAGUUUUUCCACCACGGGCUUUGAAGAUGGAGAGGACCACAUGGCAAAGAAUGCAGAUGGCCUCUGGAAGCUGAAAGUGCCCUUGGCCAACAACCAGCAAGGAAACAGGAACCAGAGUCUUACAAUAAAAAGGGCUUAAAAUAACACAAAUUUAUGAUAGCACAGCUUCUGUAGAUGAGAUGUACUAACGACGUGAUUGAGUUCUGUGCUCAAGUUAUCAUAAGACUGAAAUCAAGGUGUUGGGUAGGCUGAGUCCUUCUACGGAGACUGGGAACAAUCCACUUCUCAACGCAUUCUGGUGGCAUUUAGGGAUAAGCUGGUUUAUCCAGGCCAGCUUCACAGAAGAUGAAUAUAGUUCCAUUUCAGUUAUUAGAGACCUACCCAAAGAUUUAGAAGAAUGUUUGAUUAUUUGAAAGCAUUUUAAAACUAUUCAUUCAACAAGGAAAAGUUGAAAAAGAGUUCAGUACCUAUCAUGUAAAUUAUUAAGGUUGGUGCAGAAGUAAUUAGCAAAAACCGCAAAUACUUUUGCACCAACCUAAUAAUUAACUCAUGAGGAAUGGUAAAAGUGAGUAAGCUUUUUAGUUAAGAAAACUGGAUUUAUAGAGUUAUUCUAGCUGUGUUCUAUUCAAUUAUUACCUUGAUUUCUUUCAUUCUUUCUUUGGUUAUAAUAUGAAAGCAAUUACUAUAUUAAUUAUUUCACAGGGUUGUUAGUAGGACCAAAUUUAUUAAAAUAUACAAAGGACUUCACAAACUGGAAAAUAUUUUACAGAUUUGUAAUUAUAAUUAUUACUGGAUCUAGUCAUAGUUAUUUGUCUGCAAACCAUAAAUUAUCUCAGUGCAUUCAAAUUAACCUGGUUGUGAAGAUUUAAAAUUUUUUACUUUAUUUCCAGUUUUAAUAAACAGCAUACUGAAAAUAGUGCCACAGGCACAUCAUAAAACUAACUACAAAGUAAACAGUUCAGGCCAGGGGUGGUGGCUCACGCCUAUAAUCCCAGCACUUUGGGAGGCCAAGGUGGGUGGAUCACCUGAGGUCAGAAGUUCCAGACCAGCCUGGCCAACAUGGUGAAACGCUCUCUCUACUAAAAAUACAAAAAUUAGCUGGACAUGGCAGCGCACACCUGUAAUCUCAGCUAUUCAGGAGGCUGAGGCAAGAGAAUCACUUGAACCUGUGGGGCAGAGGUUACGGUGAGCUGAGAUGGUGCCACUUCACUCCAGCCUGGGCCACAGAGCCAUCUAAAAAAAAAAAAACAAACAAACAAAAACGAGUUCAGACGACCAAUUGGUAAGUAAAACAAUUGGUUUUUUAUCCUAAUAAAAAAGAAUUUGCCAUUCAAUCACUAACAUCCAAAACUAUUUACAGUGCUAUAUUCUGAAUAUUUGUGUCUCUUCCACCCAAAUUCAUAUGUGGAAAUGUUAACCCCCAAGGUUAACAUAAGAGGUGGGUCCUUUGAGAGGCGAUUAGGUUAUCAGAAUGGAACCCUCACAAAUGGGAUUAGUGUCUUUAUAAAAGAGACCCCAGAAAGAUCCCUUCCCAUUUCUACCAUGUGAGGUUACUGUGAGAAAACCCUGUCUGUGAGGAAGCAGACCCUCACCAGACACCAAAGCUACCAGUGUCUUGUUCUGGGACUUCUCAAACUUCAGAACUGUGAGAAAUACAUUUCUGAUAUUUAUCUGCCACCCAGUUUAUGGUGCUUUCUAAUAGCAGCCUGAAAAGAUUAAGACAAAAGGAAGGAAAAAAAGCAGAUAUUUGCUUUAUAAAUAUCUCUGUGUGUGUGUGUGUAUGUGUGUCUGUGUGUGUCUGUGUGUGUGAGAGAGAGAGAGAGAGGAAGAGAGAGAGAGAGAGAGACAGAGAAAGAGAGACAGAAACAGAGACAGAGUCUCACUCUGCCACCUAGGCUGGAGUGUAGUGGUGCGAUUUCAGCUCACUGCAACCUCUGCCUCCCAGGUUCAAGUGAUUCUUGUGCCUCAGCUUCAAGCAGCUGGGAUUACAGGUGCCCGCCACCAUGCCAGGCUAAUUUUUUGUAUUUUUAGUAGAGACGGGGUCUUCCUAUGUUGGCCACUCUGGUCUCGAAUUCCUAGCCUCAAGUGAACCACCCACCUCGGCCUCCCAAAGGGCUAAGAUUACAGAUAUGAGCCUCCACACUCAGCCUAAAUAUCUUAAAUAUGAAUGUCAAAAUAAAACUAACAGCAAUCUAAUGAUCUUGACCACUUUGAUUUACAUGGAGACUAAUAAUUUUUUAAAUGAUGUUUCAAUGACAUAUACUGUAUAGUCUUUUUAAACCUGAGACUGAUUUACUGUUUCAAUAUAUCAGAGAACAUUUAAAGAAAAUUGUGUCAUUGCCUCAGGAUUUUCCAAUGUAUAAAGAAAGAAUUUCUUGUAAUGACCUCGUAGAUAUGGUACUUAAGAGUAAGUAACAAAUAGACAAAUAAUUUUAAAACAAGAAAUGGUUGAGACAGAAAUGACCUUCCUGGAAAAUAAAUGCAAUUAGAAAAAAGACUAUUGUUACAUGAAAUGAAUUAUAUGAAGGAUGUUUCUAGGCAAACAGUAGGUGGCAA
rnacentral:lncRNA from 1 species